CGAAUGCUGACAUAAGUAACGAUAAAGCGGGUGAAAAGCCCGCUCGCCGGAAGACCAAGGGUUCCUGUCCAACGUUAAUCGGGGCAGGGUGAGUCGACCCCUAAGGCGAGGCCGAAAGGCGUAGUCGAUGGGAAACAGGUUAAUAUUCCUGUACUUGGUGUUACUGCGAAGGGGGGACGGAGAAGGCUAUGUUGGCCGGGCGACGGUUGUCCCGGUUUAAGCGUGUAGGCUGGUUUUCCAGGCAAAUCCGGAAAAUCAAGGCUGAGGCGUGAUGACGAGGCACUACGGUGCUGAAGCAACAAAUGCCCUGCUUCCAGGAAAAGCCUCUAAGCAUCAGGUAACAUCAAAUCGUACCCCAAACCGACACAGGUGGUCAGGUAGAGAAUACCAAGGCGCUUGAGAGAACUCGGGUGAAGGAACUAGGCAAAAUGGUGCCGUAACUUCGGGAGAAGGCACGCUGAUAUGUAGGUGAAGUCCCUCGCGGAUGGAGCUGAAAUCAGUCGAAGAUACCAGCUGGCUGCAACUGUUUAUUAAAAACACAGCACUGUGCAAACACGAAAGUGGACGUAUACGGUGUGACGCCUGCCCGGUGCCGGAAGGUUAAUUGAUGGGGUUAGCGCAAGCGAAGCUCUUGAUCGAAGCCCCGGUAAACGGCGGCCGUAACUAUAACGGUCCUAAGGUAGCGAAAUUCCUUGUCGGGUAAGUUCCGACCUGCACGAAUGGCGUAAUGAUGGCCAGGCUGUCUCCACCCGAGACUCAGUGAAAUUGAACUCGCUGUGAAGAUGCAGUGUACCCGCGGCAAGACGGAAAGACCCCGUGAACCUUUACUAUAGCUUGACACUGAACAUUGAGCCUUGAUGUGUAGGAUAGGUGGGAGGCUUUGAAGUGUGGACGCCAGUCUGCAUGGAGCCGACCUUGAAAUACCACCCUUUAAUGUUUGAUGUUCUAACGUGGACCCGUAAUCCGGGUUGCGGACAGUGUCUGGUGGGUAGUUUGACUGGGGCGGUCUCCUCCUAAAGAGUAACGGAGGAGCACGAAGGUUGGCUAAUCCUGGUCGGACAUCAGGAGGUUAGUGCAAUGGCAUAAGCCAGCUUGACUGCGAGCGUGACGGCGCGAGCAGGUGCGAAAGCAGGUCAUAGUGAUCCGGUGGUUCUGAAUGGAAGGGCCAUCGCUCAACGGAUAAAAGGUACUCCGGGGAUAACAGGCUGAUACCGCCCAAGAGUUCAUAUCGACGGCGGUGUUUGGCACCUCGAUGUCGGCUCAUCACAUCCUGGGGCUGAAGUAGGUCCCAAGGGUAUGGCUGUUCGCCAUUUAAAGUGGUACGCGAGCUGGGUUUAGAACGUCGUGAGACAGUUCGGUCCCUAUCUG
rnacentral:rRNA from 1 species